rnacentral:lncRNA from 1 species
GUAAUUUCAAUUCUACAUCUCCCCGUUUCACUCCACAGGAUCCCAGUUGAGAAGAAUCCCAGCUAGGUGAAAAUCUGAGCUGGGAUUUCAGCCUCCAGCCUUUGCAAACUCAAUUGCCUAAGAGGCCAGGCAAACAACAUUAAUGUGAAAAUCUGGCCAAGGGUAUGAUGCAAAGAAGACACCUGAGAGGGAGGCCUGGAGAGAACACUAAAUGAAUCCAGCCUGGAGGCUGCAGUGGGCCUGGAAUCGCCACCUCCAUCUCUAUGUUGAAAAGACGAGGACACCAUUGUUUCCUGAUCAACUUCCCAUUUCAUCCCAGCAGAGGGCACCAGUGUAAUUCUGUUCCCAGCUGUGGAGGCUGAGUGGAAGGCAGGCGUGUCAGGCGUCACUCUCCAGGAAGAAAUGACCCCAGGCAAACUGCAUAGCAGUGCAAUAGGAACAACUAUUGUGAUUGGGUCCUAUUUUGAAGUUAAUCCUAAAUCAAUUUUGAUUUUUUGGUCCUUCGAAUAUGACCAAAAACUCAGUCUACAAGUAGAUUGUUAAGUCACUUUAACAGGUAUGCUGAAAUAAUAUUAAUAUCUUUGAACUGAAUUCAUAAGUGUGGAUUGUGCUUUGUGUACACUUCAUAGAGACAUCAGAGUCAUUCUGGGAGCAAAAAUAAUAUGGUGAAGUAAAAACUUUAACCACCCUCUAUUUGCUGUUGGACCAAGACUGAAAACUUCCGACCACUUCAAGGUCCAACAUACCCUACCUUCUCCUCACUGGCACAAACUACUAAGGCCGGUAUCCUCACCAAUGCUUCAUCAUAAUGCUCAUUUCUUUUCUUCAGACCCUACCCACUAUCGUGGUCUCUGAAUUCCUUUGCCACAACUACAGACUGCAGUUUGCAAGCAGUCACAGACUUAUUUUGUUCUAUACUGGUACUGAGUCUUUUUUGUUUCUGUUUUCUUUUAAGAGCCUUACUUUUCUCCCCAUCCAGACUGUAACUUCCAUGACAACAGAUAUUCACUUUUAUAAUCUACAUCCCUCACAAUGCCUGUGUAGUGUGGAAAUUAUACGUAUUAAUAAGUACAAAUUAAUUGAAUGACAGUAGAAUACAGUCCUUGCGAUAUCUGGGUUUAUCUCCUCUAUUCUGAUGCUAACUCAUUGUGGGACCAUGGCCAGACCAUGCAACUGAAUCCCAGAACAUGCUUCAUCGUUCAUUAAAACACAGGC